rnacentral:rRNA from 1 species
UCCGUAGGGGGCUAGCGUUGUCCGGAUUUAUUGGGCGUAAAGAGCGUGUAGGCGGCCAGACAGGUCUGCUGUGAAAACUCGAGGCUCAACCUCGAGAUGUCGGCGGAAACCGUCUGGCUAGAGUCCGGAAGAGGAGAGUGGAAUUCCUGGUGUAGCGGUGAAAUGCGCAGAUAUCAGGAAGAACACCUAUGGCGAAGGCAGCUCUCUGGGACGGUACUGACGCUGAGACGCGAAAGCGUGGGGAGCGAACAGG